GCCUUACACAUGCAAGUCUGAACGGCAGCACGGGGGCUACCCUGGUGGCGAGUGGCGAACGGGUGAGUAAUAUAUCGGAACGUGCCCUGGAGUGGGGGAUAACGCAUGAAAGUUGCGCUAAUACCGCAUACGAUCUACGGAUGAAAGUGGGGGAUUCGCAAGAACCUCAUGCUCGUGGAGCGGCCGAUAUCUGAUUAGCUAGUUGGUAGGGCAAAAGCCUACCAAGGCAUCGAUCAGUAGCUGGUCUGAGGGGACGACCAGCCACACUGGAACUGAUACACGGUCCAUACUCCUACGGGGAGGCAGCAGUGGGGAAUUUUGGACAAUGGGGGCAACCCUGAUCCAGCAAUGCCGCGUGAGUGAAGAAGGCCUUCGGGUUGUAAAGCUCUUUUGUCGGGGAAGAAUAGGUACGGCUUACUACGCUGUGCUACUGACGGUACCCCCAAGACUAACCCCCGGCUAACUACGUGCCAGCAGCCGCGGUAAUACUUUCGGUGCAAGCGUUAUCCGCAUUACUGGUCUAUAGCGUGCGCAGGCCGGUAUGUAAUACAGAUGUGACUUGCCGGGCUCCACCUGGGAACUGCAUUUGCGACUGCAUGGCUAGAGUGGUCAGAGGGGGUAAAAUUCCACGU
rnacentral:rRNA from 1 species